rnacentral:misc_RNA from 1 species
AACGCACAUUGCGCCCGCCAGUAUUCUGGCGGGCAUGCCUGUCCGAGCGUCAUUUCAACCCUCGAGCCCCCCACUGGGGGGGCUCGGUGUUGGGGACCGGCCCGCCCCCGCGCGGCGCCGCCCCCGAAAUGCAGUGGCGACCUCGCCGCAGCCUCCCCUGCGUAGUAGCACAACCUCGCACCGGAGCGCGGAGACGGUCACGCCGUGAAACGCCCAACUUUCCUAGAGUUGACCUCGGAUCAGGUAGGAAUACCCGCUGAACUUAA